rnacentral:lncRNA from 1 species
AGCAGAGAACUCAAAACUAAUAAGCAAAAAUUGAAGUGAAAGGCCAGUACUUGGCCAGCUUGGCGCCUUGAGGGGUGUGAAAGCUGUUGAUAAGAUGAGCAGUUGCAGUACCACUUGGGUAUGUUAGUUUGAAGUCUAUUACCAUUAUCUGCAAUACACACAGAAAUUAGCAAAUUCAAGAUCUCACAAAACUCAUCGUCCCUUUUUGGUUCACAGAAAAGAACCAGGAAACAAAAACUGUGACCAACCUUUCGUAGGGGAACGACCGAGAAGAGCCCAAGAAAGCUGACAACAAAGAGAAAACCGAUUAUCCAACCUAAAGAAGGGUCCUUGACGCCACGGGCAGCAUCUCCUGAUUGGUUCGCAAUUCGUUCACUCAUGCCAAAGAGGUAAGUCCCAAACCCUCCUGUAAUUUUUCAAAUGCCCAAGUAGCCAUUUAUUAAUAAGCAAAAAACCUUAACAUAACUAAAAGGAGAGAGAAGAGAGAGCAGAUGAGUACAAAAGACUCAAAGAAUCUGUCUUUUUAUAUCAGAAAGACAAACACACAAACACACACAUUACCAAGUCAUGAUUCUCACAAGCAAAACUAUGGCAAGGUUCAAUCAAAAACUAAUUUCUAACUUUAAUUUAUGAUUCAAGAUAGAGAGGAGUUUCCUUUACCGCUGAAGGCAAUGCCGGAAGAAGCAACAACGCAGGUCUGAAUAACAGUAUUCUCCUGGCGAGUAAAUGGCUGUUUCAAGUAUCCAGA